rnacentral:rRNA from 1 species
UACGAAGGGUGCAAGCGUUACUCGGAAUUACUGGGCGUAAAGCGUGCGUGGGUGGUUUGUUAAAUCUGAUGUGAAAGCCCUGGGCUCAACCUGGGAAUUGCAUUGGAUACUGGCAGGCUAGAGUGCGGUAGAGGGUAGUGGAAUUCCCGGUGUAGCAGUGAAAUGCGUAGAGAUCGGGAGGAACAUCAGUUGCGAAGGCGGCUCUCUGGACCAUCACUGACACUGAGGCACGAAAGCGUGGGGAGCAAACAGG